rnacentral:misc_RNA from 1 species
GACGGAGGGCGCAAGCGUUGUUCGGAAUCACUGGGCGUAAAGCGCGCGCGGGCGGACAUGCAAGUCGGGAGUGAAAGACCGGGGCUCAACCCCGGACCCGCUUUCGAGACUGCAUGUCUAGGGACCGGUAGGGGCAGGUGGAAUUCCCGGUGUAGCGGUGGAAUGCGUAGAUAUCGGGAAGAACACCGGUGGCGAAGGCGGCCUGCUGGGCCGGGUCCGACGCUGAGGCGCGAAAGCGUGGGGAGCAAACAGG